AACGCACCUUGCGCCCUUUGGUAUUCCGAAGGGCAUGCCUGUUUGAGUGUCAUUAAAUUCUCAACUUCAAAAUGCUUUGCUGCAUUUUUGAAGCUUGGACUUUGGAGGAUCAUUUGCCGGCAUUGACUUGUCAGCUCCUCUUAAAUGCAUUAGCGGAACUUUAUUAAGGACCAGCUUUGGUUUGAUAAUCCUAUCUAUGCCGUCGCUGUGGACUUUGCUUGUUCAGCUUCUAAUGGUCUUCGGACUGUCUCUUUUUGAGGCAUACACUUUUAAGCUUGACCUCAAAUCAGGUAGGACUACCCGCUGAACUUAA
rnacentral:misc_RNA from 1 species